AUACGAAAGGUGCAAGCGUUGUUCGGAUUUACUGGGCGCAAAGAGAGUGUAGGUUGUUUAUUAAGUCGGAUGUGAAAUCCCGGGGCUCAACCUCGGAACUGCAUUCGAUACUGAUAGGCUAGAGUUUGGGAGGGGUAAGCGGAAUUCCGUGUGUAGCAGUGAAAUGCGUAGAUAUACGGAGGAACACCUGAGGCGAAGGCGGCUUACUGGACCAAUACUGACACUGAGACUCGAAAGCGUGGGUAGCAAACAGGAUUAGAAACCCUAGUAGUCC
rnacentral:rRNA from 1 species